GACGAACGCUGGCGGCGUGCUUAACACAUGCAAGUCGAACGGUGAAGGGAUCAGCUUGCUGGUUCUGGAUGAGUGGCGAACGGGUGAGUAACACGUGAGUAACCUGCCCCCUUCUUCUGGAUAACCGCAUGAAAGUGUGGCUAAUACGGGAUAUUCUGCGCCUGCUGCAUGGUGGGUGUGGGAAAGAUAUUGUUUCGGUGGGGGAUGGGCUCGCGGCCUAUCAGCUUGUUGGUGGGGUGAUGGCCUACCAAGGCGGUGACGGGUAGCCGGCCUGAGAGGGUGGACGGUCAAAGUGGGACUGAGACACGGCCCAGACUCCUACGGGAGGCAGCAGUGGGGAAUAUUGCACAAUGGGCGCAAGCCUGAUGCAGCGACGCCGCGUGAGGGAUGGAGGCCUUCGGGUUGUGAACCUCUUUCGCCAGUGAAGCAGGCCUGUCCCUUGUGGGUGGGUUGACGGUAGCUGGAGAAGAAGCGCCGGCUAACUACGUG
rnacentral:rRNA from 1 species